rnacentral:rRNA from 1 species
GACGAACGCUGGCGGCGUGCUUAACACAUGCAAGUCGAACGGAAAGGCCCUGCUUUUGUGGGGUGCUCGAGUGGCGAACGGGUGAGUAACACGUGAGUAACCUGCCCUUGACUUUGGGAUAACUUCAGGAAACUGGGGCUAAUACCGGAUAGGAGCUCCUGCUGCAUGGUGGGGGUUGGAAAGUUUCGGCGGUUGGGGAUGGACUCGCGGCUUAUCAGCUUGUUGGUGGGGUAGUGGCUUACCAAGGCUUUGACGGGUAGCCGGCCUGAGAGGGUGACCGGCCAAAUGGGGACUGAGAGACGGCCCAGACUCACACGGGAGGGAAGAGUGGGGAAUAUUGCACAAUGGGCGGAAGCCGGAGGGAGCAACGCCGGGUGGGGGAUGCGGGCCUUGGGGUUGUAAACCGCUUUCGCCUGGGACGAAGCGGGAGUGACGAUAAUGGGAAAAGAAGCACCGGCUAACUACGU